rnacentral:snRNA from 1 species
GUGUGUGAAGGUGAUCUGGCUGCACUAUCUGUCACCCAUUGAUUGCCAGGGUUGAUCAAUCUGCUGGCCUGGAUGGCUAAGGAGGUGUCCCCUUCUUCCUUCACUACUCCAUGUGCAUUUCUCCCAAAGUCACGUGCUCGUGCUCAGUGGAAGAGGACCAGUCUACAGCAAGGACCAGUCUUUGGCAAGGGUGCACCCCUG